AACGAACGCUGGCGGCAUGCCUAACACAUGCAAGUCGAACGAUGCUUUCGGGCAUAGUGGCGCACGGGUGCGUAACGCGUGGGAAUCUGCCCUUGGGUUCGGAAUAACAGUGAGAAAUUGCUGCUAAUACCGGAUGAUGUCUUCGGACCAAAGAUUUAUCGCCCAGGGAUGAGCCCGCGUAGGAUUAGCUAGUUGGUGGGGUAAUGGCCUACCAAGGCGACGAUCCUUAGCUGGUCUGAGAGGAUGAUCAGCCACACUGGGACUGAGACACGGCCCAGACUCCUACGGGAGGCAGCAGUGGGGAAUAUUGGACAAUGGGCGCAAGCCUGAUCCAGCAAUGCCGCGUGAGUGGUGAAGGCCUUAGGGUUGUAAAGCUCUUUUACCCGGGAUGAUAAUGACAGUACCGGGAGAAUAAGCUCCGGCUAACUCCGUG
rnacentral:rRNA from 1 species